rnacentral:rRNA from 1 species
CUACGGGUGGCAGCAGUGGGGAAUAUUGCACAAUGGGCGCAAGCCUGAUGCAGCCAUGCCGCGUGUAUGAAGAAGGCCUUCGGGUUGUAAAGUACUUUCAGCGGGGAGGAAGGGAGUAAAGUUAAUACCUUUGCUCAUUGACGUUACCCGCAGAAGAAGCACCGGCUAACUCCGUGCCAGCAGCCGCGGUAAUACGGAGGGUGCAAGCGUUAAUCGGAAUUACUGGGCGUAAAGCGCACGCAGGCGGUUUGUUAAGUCAGAUGUGAAAUCCCCGGGCUCAACCUGGGAACUGCAUCUGAGACUGGCAAGCUGGAGUCUCGGAGAGGGGGGUAGAAUUCCAGGUGUAGCGGUGAAAUGCGUAGAGAUCUGGAGGAAUACCGGUGGCGAAGGCGGCCCCCUGGACGAAGACUGACGCUCAGGUGCGAAAGCGUGGGGAGCAAACAGGAUUAGAUACCCCCGUAGUC